rnacentral:rRNA from 17 species
GCGACCCCAGGUCAGGCGGGACUACCCGCUGAGUUUAAGCAUA